rnacentral:rRNA from 1 species
CGAAUCGCCCUUCGGGGUGCCCAGGCGCGAAAACUUUACAAUGCUGGCAACAGCGAUAAGGGGACCUCGAGUGCCAGGAUACAAUCUUGGCUGUCGCGAUGCCUAAAAAGCAUUGCAUAGCAAGGGCCGGGCAAGACCGGUGCCAGCCGCCGCGGUAACACCGGCGGCUCGAGUGGUAACCGCUAUUAUUGGGUCUAAAGGGUCUGUAGCCGGCCGGAUAAGUCUUUUGGGAAAUCCAGCUGCUCAACAGUUGGGCUUUCAGAAGAUACUGUUCGGCUCGAGACCGGGAGAGGUGAGAGGUACUUCAGGGGUAGGGGUGAAAUCUUGUAAUCCUUGAAGGACCACCAGUGGCGAAGGCGUCUCACCAGAACGGAUCUGACGGCAAGGGACGAAAGCUAGGGGCACGAACCGGAUUAGAUACCCGGGUAGUCCUAGCCGUAAACGAUACUCGCUAGGUGUCAGCCACGGUGCGACCGUGGUUGGUGCCGUAGGGAAGCCGUGAAGCGAGCCACCUGGGAAGUACGGCCGCAAGGCUGAAACUUAAAGGAAUUGGCGGGGGAGCAC